CCCCACUCCUGGUAUACCCUUUUGGUGGUGUCAUAGUCUAAAUCCCCAAAUAACCUCGUUUAAACAAACACGUGCAUAAAACUCAAGAUUGCCUGCGUGUUGGAUUACAUACAGAUACAUGAAAUCAGGCAUGGAGACGUUAGCAUGCGUUGUACAUAAACUAAGGCUUUGUCCCACCAGAUGUUGGCAAAAACAGUGAAAUAAUCAUUUUAGUUGAGAAAAUGCAAAGUGGCUUCCAUUUGUUGGAUAGUGAUAAUGUGAUAAAAUAUGGAUAAUAAGUAAAUAAUAAAAGGCACUUGAAGGUAAACUGUCCUUCAUGGCAGUCUCUUGUUCAAAAAUACCUUUAUGUCACAGUAAUAAUGUGGUAAAGAUGUCAAAUGGUUAAAACUGGAAACUCUGUUCUAUGGUCAAAUUAAUCCUGAACUCACCCAGACAAUGGCCAGAUGGAAUCCAGAGCGCCAGAUCUUAUAUGAAUAUAUGAAGUGCAAAACAAAGUCAGCUGUUCAGAUAUUGAGAACAGUACAAUCCUGCCUCCUUCUUGACCUUAGAAUCAAAGUGUCCAUGUAUUCGGCAUAUAUUAUUAAUUUGCCAAUGUGGUGAUAACAAUAAGAUAUGAUAACGGAAUUGUAUUAAUCCCAAAGGAAAUUCUUGCACCAGAGAAUGCAACAAUAAUGCACAGUACAAUAGAAAAAAACCCCAGCAACUACCAGUGGGUACCCCAGGUCGAGAUCAUACACUGGGCCUGGUUUAGGACGAUACAAGUGAUGAAUAUAACCGAAAUAUACAACAUGCAAAGUGUUUAAGGAGUAAAUGCAAUAAACCAGUGCCUAACACACUAACAAUAGAACCAAGAAGAAUGAAGUAGAGUAAACAGAAAAAGGAGCAUUGGCAAUGACAACAUUAAUUGCUACCUGGUGAUUGUGGGGAACAUGGUUAGAAAUUUCUGAGUCUGUCAGCUGUUUUUCUGUAUGGAAGCCCUCCAGGUAACUGACUUUCUGUAAGGAGUAGUUACACUUUUGAGACAGAAGAGGGCGCUCUAAGCCCUUCUUGUAGUCUGUGGGCUGGAGUCCAGCACAGGCCAAGUGAAGGCCUAGACACACUCACCCCUAUAAUUUCACUACAAGGGCGAUGCCUUGGACUCAUGGAUACCCAGUCAUCUGCAUCUGCCACAGGAAAGGCUUCACAGAAAAUAGCUGUAGCUCUUGUAAAGUGGUAUCUAAAAGUGUGUUGCGCUGUAGUCACAUGGGUCCAAGAAGCUUACUGUAGAUGGAAAUUUUCCGAAACUUUCUUAACUUUCGUAUAGGGCUUUUGCGCUGCCGUGUUCACAAACACUGACAGUGCCUGAGUCUGCAUGGAGCCUUCCAGAUGAACUCAUCCAUCACAAAUCCAUCUUAAUAAAUACAGCGAACCCUAGCUGUUGUGAGGAAACAUCAACAAAAGAGCCCUGACAACUGAGAAGAGGGAGGGAGAAGGAUGAGGGCUCACAAUGGAAGAUCAACAUCUCUGCAUCCCCGAAGCCUCACGGACUCUUUCCAAUGGGCUCUUAAUCUAUUAUUCAGUCGCCUAUGGUACAGGAAGAGUUGUUUCUUUUCAGUCCAACACAUCACGCUGUGUAAUAUAAUGAAACCUGAAGCAAGAGGUGGUGGAAUGAUAAUACAAAUUGUUUUUGUUAUUAUUAGGGUUAUUUACUGUACAUUGUUUUUGCUAUUUAGAUUUUUUUUUUUUUUUUUUUUUUAAUUUGACCCUCUUCCUUUUUAAUUGUGUUUUGACAGCAAUUUUGGCUGUCUGCUCAACUCUUUUUUGAUUGUGAUUUGUAUUGUAUGUGUGAAAGGUGCUACAUAAACAAAGUUUCUUAUUCUUGAAUUAAAGGUUAUUUGUUUUGA